GGAAGUAUGCCCGAACGCCAUAAGGAAUACUUUGAUAGAGUACACCACAGGGGUUUAAAUCCCCUUACUUCC
rnacentral:tRNA from 1 species